ensembl:lncRNA
GGAGGGUGAUGUGUGGAUGGGAUGAGAGAGGGUAGAGGUGGGUGGAGGGGUGAUGGGAUGAGAGAGGGUAGAGGUGGAGGGGUGAUGGGAUGAGAGAGGGUAGAGGUGGAGGGGUGAUGGGAUGAGAGAGGGUAGAGGUGUGUGGAGGGGUGAUGGGAUGAGAGAGGGUAGAGGUGUGUGGAGGGGUGAUGGGAUGAGAGAGGGUAGAGGUGUGUGGAGGGGUGAUGGGAUGAGAGAGGGUAGAGGUGUGUGGAGGGGUGAUGGGAUGAGAGAGGGUACAGGUUUGUGGAGGGGUGAUGGGGUGAGAGAGGGUAGAGGUGUGUGGAGGGGUGAUGGGAUGAGAGAGCGUAGAGGUGUGUGGAGGGGUGAUGGGAUGAGAGAGGGUAGAGGUGUGUGUAGGGGUGAUGGGAUGAGAGAGGGUAGAGGUGUAUGGAGGGGGGAUGGGAUGAGAGAGGUGGAUGGAGGGGAGAUGGGAUGAGAGAGGGUAGAGGUGUGUGGAGGGGUGAUGGGAUGAGAGAGGUGGUAGAGGUGUGUGGAGGGGUGAUGGGAUGAGAGAGGUGGUAGAGGUGUGUGGAGGGGUGAUGGAUGAGAGAGGGUAGAGGUGUGUGGAGGGGUGAUGGGAUGAGAGAGGGUAGAGUUGUGUGGAGGGGUGAUGGAUGAGAGAG